UUGUAAGUGUUUAAGGGCGCAUGGUGGAUGCCUUGGCACUGGGAGCCGAUGAAGGACGUGGGAGGCUGCGAUAUGCCUCGGGGAGCUGUCAACCGAGCGUGGAUCCGAGGAUGUCCGAAUGGGGAAACCCGGCACGAGUGAUGUCGUGUCACCCGGCACUGAAUACAUAGGUGUCGGGGGGGAACGCGGGGAAGUGAAACAUCUCAGUACCCGUAGGAAGAGAAAACAAAAGUGAUUCCGUGAGUAGUGGCGAGCGAAAGCGGAGGAUGGCUAAACCGUGUGCAUGUGAUACCCGGCGGGGGUUGUGUGUGCGGUGUUGUGGGGCGUUUCUUCUUCUGGCCGCCGCCAGGAGCGAAAGUGAUAAACCGUUGGGUUAGGUGAAGUGGUCUGGGAUGGCCUGUCCGGAGAGGGUGAGAGCCCCGUAACCGAAAACUCAACGGCUUUCGUGGAAUGUUUCCCCGNNNNNNNNNNNNNNNNNNNNNNNNNNNNNNNNNNNNNNNNNNNNNNNNNNNNNNNNNNNNNNNNNNNNNNNNNNNNNNNNNNNNNNNNNNNNNNNNUCCCCGAGUAGCAGCGGGCCCGUGGAAUCUGCUGUGAAUCUGCCGGGACCACCCGGUAAGCCUGAAUACUUCCCAGUGACCGAUAGCGGAUGAGUACCGUGAGGGAAUGGUGAAAAGUACCCCGGGAGGGGAGUGAAAUAGUACCUGAAACCGUGCGCUUACAAUCCGUCAGAGCCUUCCCUUCGGGGUGGGGUGAUGGCGUGCCUUUUGAAGAAUGAGCCUGCGAGUCAGGGACAUGUCGCGAGGUUAACCCGGGUGGGGUAGCCGUAGCGAAAGCGAGUCUGAAUAGGGCGUAUCCACACAAUAGUGUGUGGUGUAGUGGUGUGUUCUGGACCCGAAGCGGAGUGAUCUACCCAUGGCCAGGGUGAAGCGCGGGUAAGACCGCGUGGAGGCCCGAACCCACUUAGGUUGAAGACUGAGGGGAUGAGUUGUGGGUAGGGGUGAAAGGCCAAUCAAACUCCGUGAUAGCUGGUUCUCCCCGAAAUGCAUUUAGGUGCAGCGUCGCAGUGUUCGUGUUGGAGGUAGAGCUACUGGAUGGCCGAUGGGCCUCACAAGGUUACUGACGUCAGCCAAACUCCGAAUGCCGACACGGUGUAAUGCGGCAGUGAGACGGCGGGGGAUAAGCUCCGUGCGUCGAGAGGGAAACAGCCCAGAUCGCCGGCUAAGGCCCCUAAGCGUGUGCUAAGUGGAAAAGGAUGUGCAGUCGCGAAGACAACCAGGAGGUUGGCUUAGAAGCAGCCACCCUUGAAAGAGUGCGUAAUAGCUCACUGGUCAAGUGAUUGUGCGCCGAUAAUGUAGCGGGGCUCAAGCACACCGCCGAAGCCGCGGCAGCGUAUUUAUGCGCUGGGUAGGGGAGCGUCCUGCAUCCGGUGAAGCAGCCUAGUGAUGGAGCUGUGGAGGGUGUGGGAGUGAGAAUGCAGGCAUGAGUAGCGAUAAGGCAAGUGAGAACCUUGCCCGCCGGAAGACCAAGGGUUCCUGGGCCAGGCCAGUCCGCCCAGGGUGAGUCGGGACCUAAGGCGAGGCCGACAGGCGUAGUCGAUGGACAACGGGUUGAUAUUCCCGUACCCGUGUGUGAGCGUCCCUGAUGAAUCACCGGUACUAACCGCCCAAAUGGUUCCUCAUCAAUCCCUUCGGGGUGCGAGGGGAACCGGCUGCGCGGGACCUUCGGUGGUAGUAGUCAAGCGAUGGGGUGACGCAGGAAGGUAGCCGUACCAGUCAGUGGUAAUACUGGGGUAAACCUGUAGGACGAGUGAUAGGCAAAUCCGUCACUCAUAUGUCUGAGAGGUGAUGCAUAGCCGAUUGAGGCGAAUUCGGUGAUCCUAUGCUGUCAAGAAAAGCCUCUAGCGAGCGCACACACGGCCCGUACCCCAAACCAACACAGGUGGUCAGGUAGAGAAUACCGAGGCGUACGAGUGAACUAUGGUUAAGGAACUCGGCAAAAUGCCCCCGUAACUUCGGGAGAAGGGGGACCCCCAUACCGUCAUGGCUUUUGCGGCCGGCAGCGGGAGGGGGUGGCACAAACCAGUGAGAAGCGACUGUUUACUAAAAACACAGGUCCGUGCGAAGUCGCAAGACGAUGUAUACGGACUGACGCCUGCCCGGUGCUGGAAGGUUAAGAGGACCCGUUAACCCUUUGGGGUGAAGCGGAGAAUUUAAGCCCCAGUAAACGGCGGUGGUAACUAUAACCAUCCUAAGGUAGCGAAAUUCCUUGUCGGGUAAGUUCCGACCUGCACGAAUGGCGUAACGACUUCUCAACUGUCUCAACCAUAGACUCGGCGAAAUUGCAUUACGAGUAAAGAUGCUCGUUACGCGCGGCAGGACGAAAAGACCCCGGGACCUUCACUACAACUUGGUAUUGGUGCUCGAUACGGUUUGUGUAGGAUAGGUGGGAGACUGUGAAACCAAGACGCCAGUUUUGGUGGAGUCAUUGUUGAAAUACCACUCUGAUCGUAUUGGGCCUCUAACCUCGAACCGUAUAUCCGGUUCAGGGACAGUGCCUGGUGGGUAGUUUAACUGGGGCGGUUGCCUCCUAAAAAGUAACGGAGGCGCCCAAAGGUUCCCUCAACCUGGACGGCAAUCAGGUGUUGAGUGUAAGUGCACAAGGGAGCUUGACUGCGAGACGGACAUGUCAAGCAGGGACGAAAGUCGGGACUAGUGAUCCGGCACCUCUGAGUGGAAGGGGUGUCGCUCAACGGAUAAAAGGUACCCCGGGGAUAACAGGCUGAUCUUCCCCAAGAGUCCAUAUCGACGGGAUGGUUUGGCACCUCGAUGUCGGCUCGUCGCAUCCUGGGGCUGGAGCAGGUCCCAAGGGUUGGGCUGUUCGCCCAUUAAAGCGGCACGCGAGCUGGGUUUAGAACGUCGUGAGACAGUUCGGUCUCUAUCCGCCGCGCGCGUCAGAAGCUUGAGGAAAUCUGUCCCUAGUACGAGAGGACCGGGACGGACGAACCUCUGGUCUACCAGUUGUCCCACCAGGGGCACUGCUGGAUAGCUACGUUCGGACAGGAUAACCGCUGAAAGCAUCUAAGCGGGAAACCCCCUCCAAGACCAGGCUUCUCACCCAUUAAGUGGGAUAAGGCCCCCCGCAGACCACGGGAUCGAUAGACCAGACCUAGAAGACCAGCAAUGGUCGCAGGGAACUGGCACUAACCGGCCGAAAACUUACAACA
rnacentral:rRNA from 1 species